GACGAACGCUGGCGGCGUGCUUAACACAUGCAAGUCGAACGGAAAGGCCCUGCUUUUGUGGGGUGCUCGAGUGGCGAACGGGUGAGUAACACGUGAGUAACCUGCCCUUGACUUUGGGAUAACUUCAGGAAACUGGGGCUAAUACCGGAUAGGAGCUCCUGCUGCAUGGUGGGGGUUGGAAAGUUUCGGCGGUUGGGGAUGGACUGGCGGCUUAUCAGCUUGUUGGUGGGGUAGUGGCUUACCAAGGCUUUGACGGGUAGCCGGCCUGAGAGGGUGAACGGCCACAUUGGGACUGAGAGACGGCCCAGACUCCUACGGGAGGCAGCAGUGGGGAAUAUUGCACAAUGGGCGGAAGCCUGAUGCAGCAACGCCGCGUGCGGGAUGCCGGCCUUCGGGUUGUAAACCGCUUUCGCCUGUGACGAAGCGUGAGUGACGGUACUGGGUAAAGAAGCACCGGCUAACUACGUG
rnacentral:rRNA from 1 species